AUUGAACGCUGGCGGCAUGCCUUACACAUGCAAGUCGAACGGCAGCACGGGAGCAAUCCUGGUGGCGAGUGGCGAACGGGUGAGUAAUAUAUCGGAACGUGCCCCGUAAUGGGGGAUAGCCCGGCGAAAGCCGGAUUAAUACCGCAUUCGACCUACGGGUGAAAGCGGGGGCUUCGCAAGAACCUCGCGUUAUUGGAGCGGCCGAUAUCAGAUUAGCUUGUUGGCGGGGUAAAAGCCCCCCAAGGCGACGAUCUGUAGCUGGUUUGAGAGGACGACCAGCCCCCCUGGGACUGAGACCCGGCCCCGACUCCUACGGGAGGCAGCAGUGGGGAAUUUUGGACAAUGGGCGCAAGCCUGAUCCAGCCCUGCCGCGUGUGGGAAGAAGGCCUUCGGGUUGUAAACCCCUUUUGUCAGGGAAGAAACGGCUUUUACUAAUAUUAGGAGCUAAUGACGGUACCUGAAGAAUAAGCACCGGCUAACUACGUG
rnacentral:rRNA from 1 species